AAGAAAGAAAGCAGGUGAGAGUGUUGCAGUCAAGCUCCGGAGAAGCAGAACCUGAAACAGGGAUCCUCGGGCGAGGCGGGUGUUGAGGGAGGGCUCUCAGGAGAAACCUGGAAGAAGAUGCUAGGGAAAAAUGUGGUUCAAGCGAAGUCUAGCCUCAGCCUGACCCCAUGGGUAGCUCUGGAGCGUGACUUGCCCUACAGAGGUGGUUCCUCCUACAAGCACAAAAGCAAAUCAUGCUUCUAAAAAAAAAGAAAUUGGAACCUUACAGCAACUUGGAAAAUGGGCGUCCUCCGUAACCUGCUAUUCCAAGUGGGGUCCUGGCUUGGCGUCACCUGGGAACGUGUCAGAAAUGCAGAGUCUCAGGCCUUCCCGCCCUGCCCGGCUGAAUUGGAAUCUGCGUUUCACAGGAUCCCACUGACUCACAGGCACUGUAAGUGUGAAGAGCUAGUGCAACCCUCCUCCUCUCCCACCCCCGUGAAGACCACAAGUGUCCCCAGUUUGUGUGCAUUUGAGAGCCUUUUAAAAAGCACACUCUUCUAACCUCUCAGUAAUUACCUGCAAUUUUGUAGCCGCAUCUGAAACCAAAAUCCUCUUCAAAGCCAUUCAGCAGGGAGCUAACAAAACAUCAUCAUCUUGUCUGUCUGCUCCCACUCUGCCCCCCUCCAACCUGUCACCCCCCCAGUUGCCACAGAGAUCUUUUAAAAAAAAAAAAAAGAUAAAUAAAUCAGCUCAUGUCGCUCUCCUGCUUAGAAUCCUGCGGUGGCUUUCCAUUGCUCUGGGAACAGCCCGGCAUCCUCGCCACCGCCUGUCUCCAGCGCCCUUCCUCCUGCUCCUCACUCCUGACACACUGAUCUUCUCUCUGGGUCUUUGCCAUCUCUGCUCCUGUGCCCGAUGCCCUUUCUUCCUCUUUCCCUGGAUGGUUCCUUUUCAUCCUUCAUGUCUCAACUUAAAUGUCACCUCCUCAGAGGUGCGAGAGGAAAUGCCCACCUUGGGACUAGCACACCCUUGCCUGCCAGUGCUCUCUGCCACAGCGGCUAUGGUCAGGACUGUCUCCCCAUAGAUGUGUGAGUCCCAUGGGAGCGGGGACCUCCUGCCUCACUCAGUCACUCUCCUUUGUAUGCAGUACUUGGCAAAUGGCCUGCACACGGUAGGUUAAUACUCAAUA
rnacentral:lncRNA from 1 species